rnacentral:rRNA from 1 species
UACGUAGGGAGCAAGCGUUGUCCGGAAUCAUUGGGCGUAAAGCGCGCGUAGGUGGCCUCGUAAGUCCGCUGUGAAAGUCAAAGGCUCAACCUUUGAAAGCCGGUGGAUACUGUGAGGCUAGAGUACGGAAGAGGCGAGUGGAAUUCCUGGUGUAGCGGUGGAAUGCGCAGAUAUCAGGAGGAACACCAAUAGCGAAGGCAGCUCGCUGGGACGUUACUGACACUGAGGCGCGAAAGCGCUGGGGAGCAAACAGG